AGAUUGAACGCUGGCGGCAUGCUUUACACAUGCAAGUCGAACGGUAACUGGCCGCAAGGUGCUGACGAGUGGCGAACGGGUGAGUAAUGCAUCGGAACGUGCCCAGUCGUGGGGGGAUAACGCAGCGAAAGCUGUGCUAAUACCGCAUACGAUCUAUGAUGAAAGCGGGGGACCGAAAGGCCUCGCGCGAUUGGAGCGGCCGAUGUCAGAUUAGCUAGUUGGUGGGGUAAAGGCCCACCAAGGCGACGAUCUGUAGCUGGUCUGAGAGGACGACCAGCCACACUGGAACUGAGACACGGUCCAGACUCCGUACGGGAGCAGCAGGUCGGGAAUUUUGGACAAGU
rnacentral:rRNA from 1 species